UGAAACAUCUUCGGGUUGUGAGGUUAAGCGACUAAGCGUACACGGUGGAUGCCCUGGCAGUCAGAGGCGAUGAAGGACGUGCUAAUCUGCGAUAAGCGUCGGUAAGGUGAUAUGAACCGUUAUAACCGGCGAUUUCCGAAUGGGGAAACCCAGUGUGAUUCGUCACACUAUCAUUAACUGAAUCCAUAGGUUAAUGAGGCGAACCGGGGGAACUGAAACAUCUAAGUACCCCGAGGAAAAGAAAUCAACCGAGAUUCCCCCAGUAGCGGCGAGCGAACGGGGAGGAGCCCAGAGCCUGAAUCAGUGUGUGUGUUAGUGGAAGCGUCUGGAAAGGCGCGCGAUACAGGGUGACAGCCCCGUACACAAAAAUACACAUAUUGUGAGCUCGAUGAGUAGGGCGGGACACGUGGUAUCCUGUCUGAAUAUGGGGGGACCAUCCUCCAAGGCUAAAUACUCCUGACUGACCGAUAGUGAACCAGUACCGUGAGGGAAAGGCGAAAAGAACCCCGGCGAGGGGAGUGAAAAAGAACCUGAAACCGUGUACGUACAAGCAGUGGGAGCACGCUUAGGCGUGUGACUGCGUACCUUUUGUAUAAUGGGUCAGCGACUUAUAUUCUGUAGCAAGGUUAACCGAAUAGGGGAGCCGAAGGGAAACCGAGUCUUAACUGGGCGUUAAGUUGCAGGGUAUAGACCCGAAACCCGGUGAUCUAGCCAUGGGCAGGUUGAAGGUUGGGUAACACUAACUGGAGGACCGAACCGACUAAUGUUGAAAAAUUAGCGGAUGACUUGUGGCUGGGGGUGAAAGGCCAAUCAAACCGGGAGAUAGCUGGUUCUCCCCGAAAGCUAUUUAGGUAGCGCCUCGUGAAUUCAUCUCCGGGGGUAGAGCACUGUUUCGGCAAGGGGGUCAUCCCGACUUACCAACCCGAUGCAAACUGCGAAUACCGGAGAAUGUUAUCACGGGAGACACACGGCGGGUGCUAACGUCCGUCGUGAAGAGGGAAACAACCCAGACCGCCAGCUAAGGUCCCAAAGUCAUGGUUAAGUGGGAAACGAUGUGGGAAGGCCCAGACAGCCAGGAUGUUGGCUUAGAAGCAGCCAUCAUUUAAAGAAAGCGUAAUAGCUCACUGGUCGAGUCGGCCUGCGCGGAAGAUGUAACGGGGCUAAACCAUGCACCGAAGCUGCGGCAGCGACGCUUAUGCGUUGUUGGGUAGGGGAGCGUUCUGUAAGCCUGUGAAGGUGUGCUGUGAGGCAUGCUGGAGGUAUCAGAAGUGCGAAUGCUGACAUAAGUAACGAUAAAGCGGGUGAAAAGCCCGCUCGCCGGAAGACCAAGGGUUCCUGUCCAACGUUAAUCGGGGCAGGGUGAGUCGACCCCUAAGGCGAGGCCGAAAGGCGUAGUCGAUGGGAAACAGGUUAAUAUUCCUGUACUUGGUGUUACUGCGAAGGGGGGACGGAGAAGGCUAUGUUGGCCGGGCGACGGUUGUCCCGGUUUAAGCGUGUAGGCUGGUUUUCCAGGCAAAUCCGGAAAAUCAAGGCUGAGGCGUGAUGACGAGGCACUACGGUGCUGAAGCAACAAAUGCCCUGCUUCCAGGAAAAGCCUCUAAGCAUCAGGUAACAUCAAAUCGUACCCCAAACCGACACAGGUGGUCAGGUAGAGAAUACCAAGGCGCUUGAGAGAACUCGGGUGAAGGAACUAGGCAAAAUGGUGCCGUAACUUCGGGAGAAGGCACGCUGAUAUGUAGGUGAAGUCCCUCGCGGAUGGAGCUGAAAUCAGUCGAAGAUACCAGCUGGCUGCAACUGUUUAUUAAAAACACAGCACUGUGCAAACACGAAAGUGGACGUAUACGGUGUGACGCCUGCCCGGUGCCGGAAGGUUAAUUGAUGGGGUCAGCGCAAGCGAAGCUCUUGAUCGAAGCCCCGGUAAACGGCGGCCGUAACUAUAACGGUCCUAAGGUAGCGAAAUUCCUUGUCGGGUAAGUUCCGACCUGCACGAAUGGCGUAAUGAUGGCCAGGCUGUCUCCACCCGAGACUCAGUGAAAUUGAACUCGCUGUGAAGAUGCAGUGUACCCGCGGCAAGACGGAAAGACCCCGUGAACCUUUACUAUAGCUUGACACUGAACAUUGAGCCUUGAUGUGUAGGAUAGGUGGGAGGCUUAGAAGUGUGGACGCCAGUCUGCAUGGAGCCGACCUUGAAAUACCACCCUUUAAUGUUUGAUGUUCUAACGUUGACCCGUAAUCCGGGUUGCGGACAGUGUCUGGUGGGUAGUUUGACUGGGGCGGUCUCCUCCUAAAGAGUAACGGAGGAGCACGAAGGUUGGCUAAUCCUGGUCGGACAUCAGGAGGUUAGUGCAAUGGCAUAAGCCAGCUUGACUGCGAGCGUGACGGCGCGAGCAGGUGCGAAAGCAGGUCAUAGUGAUCCGGUGGUUCUGAAUGGAAGGGCCAUCGCUCAACGGAUAAAAGGUACUCCGGGGAUAACAGGCUGAUACCGCCCAAGAGUUCAUAUCGACGGCGGUGUUUGGCACCUCGAUGUCGGCUCAUCACAUCCUGGGGCUGAAGUAGGUCCCAAGGGUAUGGCUGUUCGCCAUUUAAAGUGGUACGCGAGCUGGGUUUAGAACGUCGUGAGACAGUUCGGUCCCUAUCUGCCGUGGGCGCUGGAGAACUGAGGGGGGCUGCUCCUAGUACGAGAGGACCGGAGUGGACGCAUCACUGGUGUUCGGGUUGUCAUGCCAAUGGCACUGCCCGGUAGCUAAAUGCGGAAGAGAUAAGUGCUGAAAGCAUCUAAGCACGAAACUUGCCCCGAGAUGAGUUCUCCCUGACCCUUUAAGGGUCCUGAAGGAACGUUGAAGACGACGACGUUGAUAGGCCGGGUGUGUAAGCGCAGCGAUGCGUUGAGCUAACCGGUACUAAUGAACCGUGAGGCUUAACCUU
rnacentral:rRNA from 1 species